GCUCUGGAACUGCUUGUAUACCUUUGCAAACAACCUUGACAGAGUAUCGUUCAGCACUCAGAAUCAGCUCCAAUAUUGUGAUUCACUGGUAAGAUCGAGCCUAUUUGCUUCUUAGAGAUGUCAGCUCACCCUCAGAAGGCUUGGGAUCCAAGCCAGAGGGGCCCCUGCAUGUGAUCUUGCCUUGGCAUGGGAUGAUGGGUCCCUAAGCUUCUCCUGGACACCUGACUGGCUCCAUCUAUCAUUCAAGUCUCCAUUCAAUGUCACCGCCUCCAACAGCCUUCCCGGACCGCUCAGCCUAAGACAGUGCCCCACCAAGACAGGGGGAGCUGUGGUCCUCAAAGCCCCUCCAGGAGCUGGUUUUGGCAUGUUUGAUUGUUUUCCCCCCACUUCUAGUGAGGCAGAAGCCAUGGUUUCAAACAUGCACUCUGGAAACGCACUGGCUGAGGUCCCCCCCCCCCAACCUACCCCUUUCCGGUCCUGAGACUUCAGGCAAGUGACUCAGCCUCUGUGCUUUGGGCUCUCCCUCUGCACCAUGGAGGAAGGGACUGUUGUGAGCACGCCCUGAGCAAAAGAUGCAGCGCACUCAAGGGUGAUGCUUGCCAUGUGUUCAGUGCUCGAUAGUGCUGAGCUAUCAGUUUGGAAUUUUAAGUUCCUGAAAACAAGGAUUAACGCCGGUCACGCUCCCCACUGUGUCCCCAGCACCUAAGACAAUGCCAGGCACAAAGCAGGCAAUUGUGAAAGGUACAAAGGGAUGCCCAACCAGAAAAAUGCUCCCACCUCACAGGACAGCUCUGGGAUUAACUGCGAGGGCCCAGCCCGGCCUGGUGCACGAUGUGGUAGGCCUCACCCUAUCUCUCCCAGCCCCUCGCCGGAGCUUCCCUUUGUGGUCACCACUGUGCUGAUGUCCUGACGGUGCAGCGCCCCGCCCACCCCAGCCUGGGCAACCUUCAAGGCCAGGUGGUAGCCUGGGCUGGCAGAUGGGGCCCGAGGUCCUGUUCUCCGCUCCACCAGCUCCCAGUGCCUAGAGAUCGGAGCAUCUGACAGUGCUUUGCAAACUACCAAGAGUGACACAAACACGAGCAAUUAUCUUCACAGGAAACAGAUAAACGAUGCAUCCAAGUUUUCUCCAAAUCUAUAACCAAGGUUUUAAAAAUCUACAAUAAUCGUAUGCUCCAACAAUUCUCCUCCUGGGGGUAUACCCAAAAGAAUUGAAAGCAGGGUUCCCGAACAGAUAUCCGUAUGCACACGCUCCCAGCAGCAUUACGUAUAAUCGCCAAAAUGUGGAAGCAGCCUAAGUGCCCACUGAUAGAUGAAUGAAUGAACAAAAUGUGGUCCAUACCUCCCAUGGAAUAGUUUUCAGCCAUAGAAGAAAAGGGAAUUCUGACACCUGCUACAGCACAGAUGAAUCCUGAGGACAUUACAUUAAGUGAAGUAAGCUAAUGACAACAAGACAAAACGCUGCACGAUACCACUAAUAUGAGGUGCACAGAGUAGUCAGAUUCAGAGACAGAAAGCAGAAUGGUGGUGGCCAGGGGCUGUGGGGAGGAAACAGUGGGGAAUCUGUGUUUACUGGGGGCAGAGUUUCAGUUUUGCAAGAUCAAGCGUUCUGGAGAUGGAUAGUGGUGAUGGUUGCACACAUUAGAAAUGUACUUAGCACCAUUGCAGCAUGCACUUAAAAUUGGUUAGGAGGGUAAAUUUUAUGUGUAUUUCACCACCAGAAAAAAAAAAAAGGAAAAGAAACUCACAAGAGAGUUAGUAGACAGGGUGUGCUAUUGACCCAAUACUGCCCAGGACACAUCACAUCAGGGUCCCUCCAACCCCCCAGCGUGGGACCCAUGCCAGCUUUGAGAUAAUGAGUCCAGGGCUUACAGUUCCUGAGGUUCUGACCCUCCCUUCUACCAAGACCAGCCAGCCUACUCUCCUGAAAACUUGUUCUUAGACAAAGUUCCAGACACACCCCCCUUGCCUGCGCCAACCCUGAGCAGGGAUGGAGCGAGGAAACCCAGAGGAGGCUGGCUUCACUUUCCCAAGCAAAGCCAAGAACAUCAAGCCUUGCUCGGCUUCCUCCCAUCACCAGGUCCCAAGCCCACCCAACUUCUCCCCCAUUUCCCUCCCACAUAUGCCCCACACUUCGGCCUCCCCUGCCUGCCUUCAGAGGGAGUGACGGGCUCUUGCUUCCUUGGAAAGAACUCAAAUCAGCUUCUUUCCGGGGAGAAGGAGCUGAGUGGGGAGAACCAGCUGACGCAACUUCCUUCCCUCCCCUUGCCCCUAGUGUCCGAACAACGGAUCUUCAACCAACGGAAGAAGAAGGAAAGAGAGAAGGCAGAGCAGGGAAGCGGGGAGGUAAGCCAGUCCCUC